rnacentral:tRNA from 1 species
GGGUUUGUAGCUUAGCUGGUUGAGUACCACGUUGACAACGCUGAGGUCGGAGGUUUCAGUCCUCUCAAACCGA